rnacentral:sRNA from 1 species
AUACCGGGAGCUCCUUGGCGGCGCCCCCGGCAGCUCGGAAGCAGCAGGAAGCCCCGAGUGGGGCGGCAGACCUCCAGCCCUGGGGUCCCUGCUGGACCCCCUCCCCACUGCGGCCAGCCUGGGCAUCUCAGACUCCAUCCGCGAAUGCAUCUCCUCUCAGAGCAGCGACCCCAAAGAUGCUUCGGGAGAUGGCGAGCUGGACCUCAGUGGCAUUGAUGACCUGGAGAUUGAUAGGGUAAGUGGCAGUACCCAUUCCCAGGAGGGGUGGGCUUGGGAGGGCGCUGCAGCCCAAGGAGCCUUGAGUGGCCGGGCGGGGUUGGCCACCUCCCCUACCCAGAGCCCACCCCGCUGGGUGAAGUGGGCUCCUGGCCUUCUAGCCACUGUUCUGGGAUCCACCCCCAGACUCUGUUAUCCAGUGUUGGCUCGGGGGCAGCCUGUAGAGAGGCCCCUGGCUUUGCCCCUGUCCCUUGCGGCCUUCUGGGCACGUAGUCUGCGGUAAGCACACAUCGCACAAAUAGCACCAGGAUCAGCCCCUCGAAGGGUCUCUAGACACAAGAGGGCACCCACUGACUCCACAUGCGCUGUGCGCCCCCAAACCCCAGGGUUUCCAGCCAUUGGGACCAGCUCUUUGCAGUUUAUCUCAACAUACUUGCCGUCUGUCAGGCAGAAAGUCUUCUUCCCUGCUUUCGUGGCUGUGUGGUGCCUCAGACCCUCCAGCCUGGCCCGUCUGUACCUGAGCGGGAGGCUCUCACCCUCACUUGGCCCCUUUGUGGGGACCUGUGGCCUGCACUCUGGCUGGCCAGGGUCCUGGUGCCGGCAGGGCUUGCAGGCUGCCCUAGAGGGUCUCACACAUGUGGCCUGCGUGGUUGGCCUUGGGACAGGCAAAGGAGCAACAGGUCCCCAACUCGCCACGCACGGUGAGGCCUCAGCCCAGGCUCCGCACUAAAUAGAGGCUGCCCCGGGUUCCCCUUCCUGUAACGGUGGAAAUACUUCCCACUGGCCAGCGCAACCUUAGCAUGCCCCGGUGUGCGAAGGCUAAAAGCCAGCCCCACUUCCCUGUGCUCGCCCAGUACAUCCUGAAUGAGUCGGAAGCUCGCGUGAAGGCCGAGCUGUGGAUGAGGGAGAACGCCGAGUACCUGCGGGAACAGAGGGAAAAAGAAGCAAGAAUAGCCAAAGAGAAGGAGCUCGGCAUCUACAAGGAGCACAAGCCCAAGAAGUCUUGCAAGCGACGGGAGCCAAUUCAGGCCAGUACUGCCAGGGAGGCCAUCGAGAAGAUGCUGGAGCAGAAGAAGAUCUCCAGCAAAAUCAACUACAGCGUGCUCCGGGGCCUCAGCAGCGCCGGCGGGGGCAGCCCACACAGGGAGGAUGCGCAGCCCAAGCAUAGCGCCAGUGCCAGGAAGCUGUCACGAAGGAGGACGCCGGCCAGCAGAAGUGGGGCUGACCCUGUGACCAGUGUGGGGAAAAGGUUGAGGCCUCUGGUGUCUACGCAGCCAGCAAAGAAGGUGGCCACGGGAGAGGUGCGUUGUCCCACGCAGCCAGGGCAGGGGGACCUUGGGAGGCAGCCCACCCGUUUCUUCCUGGGCCCAGAUGCUUGGUCUGUGAGCACAGGGAGAGCAGGCCUGACAGAGGCGCCUGCCCCUGCUGCUCCAUACUUGCCAAGAGUGAGCAGCCUUGCUGUGGGCCUGGUGCCUGCAGGGAGCCUGUAUGUAGGAAGCAGGCACUGCCAGGUCACAGGGCCCAGCCCUCCAGGGCUCAGGGGUCUUUCACCUGGACUGUCACUUGUUGGGGACUGGUCUGGCCCAGGAAACCAGGGUGAAGGUGCUGGCAGGUGGCAGGGGCUGGGGCAGGGGCUGGAGCAGCAGCCUCUGUCUGUGUUCUGGGAGCCAAGCCAGGCCAAGCCCCCGGGGGCUGAGGCCACAGUGUCCUCGGCCAAGGCCUAUGGUCUGGAAAGGUGUUCUGCAUUGUCCCCGAGCACUGGAGUGGGUCCCAGUAGGGUACAGGAGCAGGGGCUGGCAGAGGCCUGAGGGUGGGAUCUCGAUGCUGAUACUGCUCAUGGCACAGCCCCCAGGAGGCCAAAAGGGGCCAGUGGGCCUGGGAGCCCUGGCUAACCCCGGGACCCGCUGGAGUGGCAUGAGUGGCUGAGCAUCCUGGGCCCGCCCUAGUGGGUCUGAGGGGUCUGUUGCGAUACACAGAACUCCCAGCUCUGUGUGUAUCAGAGCCCCACUUCGUUCCAGGCUUUGCUCCCAAGCUCUCCCACUCUUGGAUCUGAGCCUGCCAGGCCCCAGGCGGUCCUGGUGGAGAGCGGGCCUGUGUCGUACCACGCCGAUGAGGAGGCUGACGAGGAGGAACCCGACGAGGAGGACGGGGAGCCCUGCGUCAGUGCCCUGCAGAUGAUGGGCAGCAACGACUAUGGCUGUGACGGCGAUGAGGACGACGGCUACUGAAGUGUGGCCUCCAGGCAGGUGAUGUCCUGGCAGGGGGCCUCGCGGGUCUCCUCAGUAUCAGACGGGCUUCCAGGACCGCAGCAGGCAGGCCCCAGCACUGAGACUCCUGCUGACAGGUGGCAUCUGUCCCACAGCCCUCGUCCCAUGUGGAACUUACCAUUGGGAUUGUGUUUCUAUCCAGCAAAGGAAACCGGAUCAAGCGUCUGCAUGUGUGUGAUCAGAUGUGGGCCAGGUAUACGUAGGACUGGGUCCCACUGCCUGCCGUCGACUCACCCAAGGACCCUCCAAGGCUGGCAGUGUGGUGUUGCUACUAUUAAGGAAACAGGCUUGGGGCAGCCCCACUGCUGGUCCAAGUGUGUGGAGGGCUGAGUGUGCUGGCCCUGUGACUCAGGACCAGCUCUGGAGUCCCCAGCCCACCCUCUACACCGUUCCCUCCUGGGCAGCACUCGGCGCCAUCGGCCUCCGCCAGAGUGGAAGCCAGAGCCCUGCAGGUGUCCGGCACAGCCGCGGGAGCUGAGGAUCUGGCGCUUGAGAAGCAGCAGCUCUCCCGCCACCACGCUGAAGGUCCUCUGCCUCCAGCUGUGCCCCUGCAUCCAGAUACCUGCCUCGUCUAAGGCAGACACCCCCACCCCUGCCUCCUCCAGACCCCGCUCCCCCCCACUGCCUGCACCGCCUGGAGCAGCAUGGGGGUCAGACCCCUGCCCCAGGGCCACUUGAGUUGUGUGCCCAGGAGCCCUGCGGCUGCCGGCAGGUGAACUGAGUGCCCGACAGCUGAGACUGGCGCCCGCCCGUCCUGAGCAUAGCUCUGUAGGCAGUGCGGGCGUGGCCUGCAUAGUGUCCUGGCGCUGGGAGUUCCCCGUGGACAGAGCCAGAGGGCAGUGGCGCUCCCUGUCAGAGCUGGAUCAGGCCCCCCAUCCAGGAGGGAGGGCAGAUGGAGGCCCGAGAUCCUCCCCAGGCCUCUUCAUGGGAAGGCCCCAGUACCACCCGUAGGGGAUCUCAGCUCUGGCAUGGCUGCCCCGGAUGUAGCCGAGGAGGGGGCUUCACCCUGUGUUCUUAGGAGAGGGUGGCCUUGAGGCAGAGCCGUGCCUCACUGACCCCCAGGGGCCUCAUCCUCCCCAUGGAAUGGGCUGUAUGUCCUGCCCCAACUUGGCCUGCAGCAGGCCAGACCCCCCUACCCCCACCCAGAGCUCAGCAGCCAGCCUGGGUCCUGUCAGGGCUUCUCCAAGGCUUGGGGGAAGAAUAGAUUUAGUAAAGCAGAAAGAUCUGUUGUUACUUAACAG